rnacentral:lncRNA from 1 species
UGGGAGGACAAUGGUGAGAAGAGGGAACCUAAGAAUUCCUGGACUCUGACUGGGCGUGAGAAAUGGCCGGAAGUAGCUUCGAGUCCGUCAUUCAAGCAGUAGAGGCUCUGGAGAAAAACUGGAGCGCAUCUGCUUAAAGGGCCGCCCAGGGUCAGGAUGGAGGGGCAAAGUCCGAGCAGGGGGUUUCCUCCCAUAUUGGAUCACGAUGAAAACUGCACAGAAAGUCCGUGCUCAGUUUCUUCCAUGGUUACAGAACACAGGCCCCAGACCAGGAAGGCAUUCUGCUAAAGAAGGGGACCCGAAACCUCAGCUACCAGCGCCGAUGGUUCAUCCUCCGAGGAAACCUCCUCUUCUACCUAGAACACUAGACCGACCAUGCACCCCUGAGCCUCAUCCUGUUAGAGAACUGCCAGGU